rnacentral:rRNA from 1 species
UACGAAGGGGGCUAGCGUUGCUCGGAAUCACUGGGCGUAAAGCGCGCGUAGGCGGCUUUUUAAGUCGGGGGUGAAAUCCUGGAGCUCAACUCCAGAACUGCCUUUGAUACUGGGAAGCUUGAGUCCGGGAGAGGUGAGUGGAACUCCGAGUGUAGAGGUGAAAUUCGUAGAUAUUCGGAAGAACACCAGUGGCGAAGGCGGCUCACUGGCCCGGUACUGACGCUGAGGUGCGAAAGCGUGGGGAGCAAACAGG